rnacentral:rRNA from 1 species
UACGUAGGGUGCAAGCGUUAAUCGGAAUUACUGGGCGUAAAGCGUGCGCAGGCGGUUAUGCAAGACAGAGGUGAAAUCCCCGGGCUCAACCUGGGAACUGCCUUUGUGACUGCAUGGCUAGAGUACGGUAGAGGGGGAUGGAAUUCCGCGUGUAGCAGUGAAAUGCGUAGAUAUGCGGAGGAACACCGAUGGCGAAGGCAAUCCCCUGGACCUGUACUGACGCUCAUGCACGAAAGCGUGGGGAGCAAACAGGAUUAGAUACC